rnacentral:rRNA from 1 species
AGUCGAGCGCACCUUUCGGGGUGAGCGGCGGACGGGUUAGUAACGCGUGGGAAUAUACCCUUUGGUACGGAAUAGCCUCUGGAAACGGAGAGUAAUACCGUAUGAGCCCUUCGGGGGAAAGAUUUAUCGCCAAAGGAUUAGCCCGCGUUAGAUUAGGUAGUUGGUGGGGUAAUGGCCUACCAAGCCUACGAUCUAUAGCUGGUUUUAGAGGAUGAUCAGCAACACUGGGACUGAGACACGGCCCAGACUCCUACGGGAGGCAGCAGUGGGGAAUCUUGGACAAUGGGCGCAAGCCUGAUCCAGCCAUGCCGCGUGAGUGAUGAAGGCCUUAGGGUCGUAAAGCUCUUUCGCCUGUGAAGAUAAUGACGGUAGCAGGUAAAGAAACCCCGGCUAACUCCGUGCCAGCAGCCGCGGUAAUACGGAGGGGGUUAGCGUUGUUCGGAAUUACUGGGCGUAAAGCGCACGUAGGCGGACUGGAAAGUAUGGGGUGAAAUCCCAGGGCUCAACCCUGGAACUGCCUCAUAAACUAUCAGUCUAGAGUUCGAGAGAGGUGAGUGGAAUUCCGAGUGUAGAGGUGAAAUUCGUAGAUAUUCGGAGGAACACCAGUGGCGAAGGCGGCUCACUGGCUCGAUACUGACGCUGAGGUGCGAAAGUGUGGGGGAGCAAACAGGAUUAGAUACCCUGGUAGUCCACACCGUAACGAUGAAUGCCAGUCGUCGGGUAGCAUGCUAUUCGGUGACACACCUAACGGAU